UGGUGUUUCAUGGCCCCCGACGUGCGC
rnacentral:sRNA from 1 species